AACGUAGGUGGCAAGCGUUAUCCGGAAUUACUGGGCGUAAAGAGCGUGUAGGCGGCUUUACAGGUCCGUUGUGAAAACUCGAGGCUCAACCUCGAGACGCCGGUGGAAACCGUAAGGCUAGAGUCCGGAAGAGGAGAGUGGAAUUCCUGGUGUAGCGGUGAAAUGCGCAGAUAUCAGGAAGAACACCUAUGGCGAAGGCAGCUCUCUGGGACGGUACUGACGCUGAGACGCGAAAGCGUGGGGAGCGAACAGG
rnacentral:rRNA from 1 species